UAUACACACACUGAUCAAUGUAUCAAAAGAUAAGACUAAUGCGAUAUGUAUCGGUCAGUCUUCUAACAUAUGUGUGAUUUUUCAAUUAUAAAAGGAAGCCAGCUUUAUGAUACAGCAAGACGUACACGCGUGCAUUUCUUGUUGAUUGGAAUAUAAUGACUACAAGCGACGUUCGGAUAAAGUAAGUAAGUAAGUUUGUUUUCAUUUAUGUAUAAUUUAAUUAUUUAUUUGACCAUUUGUUUUAAUAGACCACUUUCGAGUUCAUCCGUCACCGGAAAAAAACUCGUCAAUUAUACGCGCCUUUAUGACGUCAUUUACCAGAUAGAGGGGGUCGCCUGUAUCCCUGCACUAUUUACGUUCAUCAAGCGUCUUAGUGAUCGUCAUUGUGCAGGAUAAACUAGAAAUAAUGGAUGUUCUGUAGGUACUUAAUGACAAUUCCCUAAUGACAGCAAUGCUGAUUGUCAAUUUUGAGAAUUCAAUUUGCCGAAUAAUUCGUACAAUAUAGAAUUAUAGUUUCCAACCACUCGCUCAACAUUGGAAUGGAAGUGACGACGCCCCUAAACGCACAAAUGACGUUCACUAAAACCAGAGUUUUUGACGGAAAUGCAUCGAACUCGAAAGUUGUCUAUUGCAACGCAUAUUAUUCAUAUAUUUACUUUUGUUAUAAAAACUAAUAUAAUGACAUGACGCUCAAAUCUCGAGGUUCAAAUAUAUAUAAGUCGAUCUGAAU
rnacentral:lncRNA from 1 species